rnacentral:ncRNA from 1 species
AUCUCUCGAAGACGAUGAUUGCUUAGAAGCGCAUCAUCUUCACCUCCCUGUUGGACUAAGGCCGAGCUUAUUGCUCGGCCCUUUUU